GAUGAACGCUAGCUACAGGCUUAACACAUGCAAGUCGAGGGGAAACGAUGAGAGAGCUUGCUCUCUUAGGCGUCGACCGGCGCACGGGUGAGUAACGCGUAUCCAACCUACCCAUUACAGGGGGAUAACCUUGCGAAAGUAAGACUAAUACCCCAUGGCAUUUUAUGGUGGCAUCAUUAUAGGAUUAAAGAUUUAUUGGUAAUGGAUGGGGAUGCGUCUGAUUAGCUUGUUGGCGGGGUAACGGCCCACCAAGGCAACGAUCAGUAGGGGUUCUGAGAGGAAGGUCCCCCACAUUGGAACUGAGACACGGUCCAAACUCCUACGGGAGGCAGCAGUGAGGAAUAUUGGUCAAUGGGCGAGAGCUUGAACCAGCCAAGUAGCGUGCAGGAUGACGGCCCUAUGGGUUGUAAACUGCUUUUAUAGGGGAAUAAAGUGAGCUACGUGUAGUUUAUUGCAUGUACCCUAUGAAUAAGGACCGGCUAAGUCCGUG
rnacentral:rRNA from 1 species